ACAGAGGUAUCUUCCGGCGGCAACACCAUACACCGUGUUAGCAAGGUUAUGAGAUCCCGAUUGGAGAAGUGCUAAAAUAGACAAAACAUCGCAAUUCAGUAAAAACAAAGCAUAAUUUGUGCGUAAAAAUACCUUAACAAUGGCGUUUAUUGAAAAGACGACCUCGAUGUGAGACCGGGAAGUAUAAGAUUAAUUUAGCGGACCCAGUAGCGCUCAUUUGUUAAUGAGGAAGGUUCGGGGGAGUUUCCAAAAUAUACUCAAACAUGUCUGUUCCUGGCUGUAAGGGAAUAGUACUCGCGUAGAGUUCGGCAAUACGAUGAAGAGAUAAUUAAAUGCAAAACAUCAUCGCACCUGUUAUAACAGAUAACACAAUUAUCAAUCUAAACUACCUAGCCCGUGAUGAAUUAUGAAAACAAAGAUGAUUAAAGAUCGGGAACGAUUUUUUGUAAAUCUAGAACGUUUUCUUAAUGAAUCUUAAGAUAGAUGCUAUGACACGUUCCGUGGAAUCGAAGGGAGCCUCUAGUUGGCGGUAGACUUGGUGAAAUAAUCACCGUGUCCGGACGCCAAGUAAUCAGGGAACGAUUGACCAAAGUCUUUAAAAAUUGACUGAUCAGUUUUGACGACUUAAGAACCGACUUUCCCACGUCCAAGGAUUAAUAAGAUAAUCGGUAGAUUUAAGAUUAAUUAAUCUCUCUCUCUCUCUCUCUCUCUCUCUCUCUCUCUCUCUCUCUCUCUCUCUCAUUCCAUGUUGGUUAAAUAUUACCCCUUUAAAUGGAUAGAUGUUUGUAAUGUUCUCAAAUAUCUGAAUUAAUUGUUCAUGGUUCUUUUUUUUCCGAGUUUGUCUGCAAGAGUCUGUACCGUAUAUACACCUAUAUAUAUUCUGUGCUGACAAAAUACGGGUGUAGCGUUUCAAAGUUUCACGGAUGUUUUAAAUUCUCACUUAGCUAAAACACAAAGCCCCGAACUGGUGCAUCCUAGGAAUGUAAUGGGUUUAGAUCGAGACCCCGCGGAAUGAAAGAAGAUAGCUCUAUGAUUAUAAAUAAAAUCAAAUGGUUCUUGUCAUUUUGGUGAUGUUUAUGGACACCCGGGGGGCAGGGACUACCCUGGCUGCGGCCUCCCCGGGGGUGAGCGACCGCUGAAGACGAGGCGGUCAGUGAUUGGCACUCGUUUAACAGCUGUAUCUAACAGAUAGAGUGCUCAAUCACUCAUAUCAAUUUUUAUACAUGUAGACUUUGAAGGCUUGUGUUUACAUGCUGUCUAAUUUAUAACUCGUGAUAACACAAAGGCAUGGGAAUCUGUCAUUUCGUAAUGGGACCGAAAAAACAGAAGUGAUCGGUGCAACAAAGCGACGGCGAGAGAAGACUCGUGACAAACGACUUAACAACUCUAGUGACCAACAUGUGAAAUAGAGGACAAUUCAUUAGGACAAUCAUGGAGUCAAUUAGCGACGUUGAGUGACAGUGAUGAGCAAUAUCAAUAACUCUAUACUAUACACACCAACACGCUAAUUAGGUCAUUAUAUCAAAGUUGAUUAGUGAUCAGAAAUUGCUGUGUAUUGGGUCAUCAUACACUCAGUUCGAACAUAUUCGCUGACUUCUACUACUAUUCGUUGGGUCAUUAUGUCAACUUAAAUUAGGGAUCGGAAAUCGCUGACCUACAAUCUACUGUGUAUAAGGAUAAUGUAGAAUUCAGCGAUCGCCGACUUACAAUACCUUUUCUGCUUGUGUCGUGUAAAUAUAUUAAAAUUUAGAAUUUGCCGAC
rnacentral:sRNA from 1 species